UGGUGGUGUAGGGGCUUAUUGCUAAGCAUGACAAUAUUUUCUUUCCAUGGUCGGUAGAGAAUAAGACUGUUGGAUGGAGGGUUGCUGCUGUAGAGGAGCAGCCAUCAUCUUCUUAUUGUUUAGGGAGGGUGGGGGUGAGCGAGAAGGAGGAGAUGUAGAAAUAUAUGGGAGGAUAGAGGAUGAAGAAACAGAGAAGAGGAAGAGGUGGGCAAAAUCAUAGCUGCCGAUGUGGGUUCGAGCAAGAAGAAUGAGGG
rnacentral:lncRNA from 1 species